UCGAGGGGCAGCGGGGGCGAAAGCUUGCUUUCGCCUGCCGGCGACCGGCGCACGGGUGAGUAACACGUAUGGAACCUGCCCUAUGCAGGGGGAUAAGCGGAAGAAAUUCCGUCUAAUACCGCAUAACACCAUUUGGAGACAUCUCCAGGUGGUCAAAGGAGGCGACUCCGGCAUAGGAUGGCCAUGCGUCGCAUUAGCUAGUCGGCGGGGUAACGGCCCACCGAGGCGACGAUGCGUAGGGGUUCUGAGAGGAAGGUCCCCCACACUGGUACUGAGACACGGACCAGACUCCUACGGGAGGCAGCAGUGAGGAAUAUUGGUCAAUGGGCGCAAGCCUGAACCAGCCAAGUCGCGUGAGGGAAGACGGUCCUAUGGAUUGUAAACCUCUUUUGUCGGGGAGCAAAGCGCGGUACGAGUACCGUGAAGGAGAGUACCCGAAGAAAAAGCAUCGGCUAACUCCGUGCCAGCAGCCGCGGUAAUACGGAGGAUGCGAGCGUUAUCCGGAUUUAUUGGGUUUAAAGGGUGCGUAGGCGGAUUUGUAAGUCAGCGGUAAAAAUGCGGUGCUCAACGCCGUAUCGCCGUUGAAACUGCGGGUCUUGAGUGAGCGAGAAGUAUGCGGAAUGCGUGGUGUAGCGGUGAAAUGCAUAGAUAUCACGCAGAACUCCGAUUGCGAAGGCAGCAUACCGGCGCUCAACUGACGCUGAGGCACGAAAG
rnacentral:rRNA from 1 species